CCUACGGGAGGCAGCAGUGGGGAAUAUUGGACAAUGGGGGGAACCCUGAUCCAGCCAUGCCGCGUGUGUGAAGAAGGCCCUCGGGUUGUAAAGCACUUUCAGUGAGGAAGAACGCCUGGUGGUUAAUACCCAUCAGGAAAGACAUCACUCACAGAAGAAGCACCGGCUAACUCCGUGCCAGCAGCCGCGGUAAUACGGAGGGUGCGAGCGUUAAUCGGAAUUACUGGGUGUAAAGCGCGCGUAGGUGGCUUGAUAAGCCGGUUGUGAAAGCCCCGGGCUCAACCUGGGAACGGCAUCCGGAACUGUCAAGCUAGAGUGCAGGAGAGGAAGGUAGAAUUCCAUGUGUAGCGGUGAAAUGCGUAGAGAUCGGGAGGAAUACCAGUGGCGAAGGCGGCCUUCUGGACUGACACUGACACUGAGGUGCGAAAGCGUGGGUAGCAAACAGGAUUAGAUACCCUUGUAGUC
rnacentral:rRNA from 1 species